rnacentral:rRNA from 1 species
AGUUCGAUUAUGGCUCAGAUUGAACGCUGGCCGGGAUGCUUUACAUGCAAGUCCGAACGGCAGCACGGACUUCGGUCUGGUGGCGAGUGGCGAACGGGUGAGUAAUGUAUCGGAACGUGCCUAGUAGCGGGGGAUAACUUUUGCCCAGAAAGCGUAGCUAACCGCAUACGCCCUUCGGGGAAAAGCGGGGAACCUUCGGGCCUCGCACUAUUAAACCGGCCGAUAUCGGAUUAGCUAGUUGGUGGGGUAACGGCUCACCAAGGCGACGAUCCGUAGCUGGUUUGAAGAGGACGACCAGCCACACUGGGACAGAGACACGGCCCAGACUCCUACGGGAGGCAGCAGUGGGGGUACGGACAAUGGGGGAAACCCUGAUCCAGCCAUCCCGCGUGUGCGAUGAAGGCCUUCGGGUUGUAAAGCACUUUGGCAGGAAAAACGGCACGGGAUAAUACCACGUGCAACUGACGAAAACACCUGCAGAAUAAGCACCGGCUAACUACGUGCCAGCAGCCGCGGUAAUACGUAGGGUGCAAGCGUUAAUCGGAAUUACUGGGCGUAAAGCGUGCGCAGGCGGUUCGGAAAGAAAGAUGUGAAAUCCCAGAGCUUAACUUUGGAACUGCAUUUUUUAACUACCGAGCUAGAAGUGUGUCAGAGGGAGGUGGAAUUCCGCGUGUAGCAGUGAAAUGCGUAGAUAUGCGGAGGAACACCGAUGGCGAAACGGCUUCCUGGAUAACACUGACGCUCAUGCACGAAAGCGGUGGGAGCAAACAGGAUAGAUACCCUGGUAGUCCACGCCCUAAACGAUGUCAACUAGCUGUUGGGGCCUUCGGGCCUUGGUAGCGCAGCUAACGCGUGAAGUUGACCGCCUGGGAGUACGGUCGCAAGAUUAAAACUCAAAGGAAUUGACGGGGACCCGCACAAGCGGUGGAUGAUGUGGAUUAAUUCGAUGCAACGCGAAAAACCUUACCUACCCUUGACAUGUCUGGAAUCCCGAAGAGAUUUAGAGUGCUCGCAAAGAGAACCGGAACACAGGUGCUGCAUGGCUGUCGUCAGCUCGUGUCGUGAGAUGUUGGGUUAAGUCCCGCAACGAGCGCAACCCUUGUCAUUAGUUGCUACAGGGGCACUCUAAUGAGACUGCCGGUGACAAACCGGAGGAAGGUGAAGUUGGCGUCAGUCCUCAUGGCCCUUAUGGGUAGGGCUUCACACGUCAUACAAUGGUCGGGACAGAGGGUCGCCAACCCGCGAGGCCAAUCCCAGAAACCCGAUCGUAGUCCGGAUCGCAGUCGCUCGACUGCGUGAAGUCCGGAAUCGCUAUUAUUAGCGGAUCAGCAUGUCGCGGUGAAUACGUUCCAGGUCUUGUACACACCGCCCGUCACACCAUGGGAGUGGGUUUACCCAGAAGUAGUUAGCGCCGUAAGGAGGCGAUUACCACGGUAGGAUUCAUGACUGGGGUGAAGUCAUGCUAAGGUAG